AUUUACACUGACUGGGCCAACCACUACCUAGCAAAAUCAGGCCACAAACGGCUGAUCAAGGACUUGCAACAAGACAUUGCAGAUGGAGUACUCCUAGCAGAAAUCAUCCAGAUUAUUGCAAAUGAAAAAGUUGAAGAUAUCAAUGGAUGUCCUAGAAGUCAGUCUCAGAUGGUAAGAUGAGAUGAGGUUCUUAACCAAAUAGGGAAGAGAUAAAAUACUGGAAUGCUCUUAAAGGUUUAAUAAAAUCUUAUAUAUGGCAUACUGCAAAAUUGUAGCACUAUGACUCAGAGGAGU
rnacentral:sRNA from 1 species